GCAGUAAGUGGUUUUAUGCAAGGUGAUGACUGGUUAGGGGACAGUAAAAUGUGUCUUGCAGUAGACAUCAGGAAAAAAGGGGGAAAAACCUUGGUCUACACCACUUAUCGGACACAUAAUCAUUGAAAACAAAGCUGUACAAUUUUGUACCUCAUGCAGUUGAGUAUAGAAGACAACCAUGAUUAACCAAUUAUUGCUAGAGCAUUCUUUCAAGUGUUGUAUUAGGUUAAUGUUAUUAAAAAUCUUUUAUUUUCAGAUCAAUUUGGCUUGAGGUUGACUGUAGCCACAUAUCAGAGCUAUAUAAGUGGGUUGUAUCAGAGACAAAGCUCUGCUUACGGACUGUCAAUAUACUUCCUGACUCCUCUGGAAAAGACCGUUUCUUCCAUUUUAUGAGGACUGAAGAUGAUUCAGGACCAGAUUAAGCAAAACAACAGUCAUUGGAUUGGAGCCAUGCUGGGGCACUGCUUUGAACGAAUCGACCCCGGU